GUUUUUCCCUCUACAUCUGAAUCUUUCCUUCAGUAAAUUUCCAUUAGCCCCGGGGAGUCUCUGACUUUAUGAUUCCAAAAUUAUUUUAGACCACAUAAAACUAGGAAGAGAAAGAGGUAGUGGAAACUUUCCCUGAAGUUGCCAUCUCUGUGUUUGGGUACCUCCUCUACCUAGAGCAUUGGAAACACACUGUUUGUUGGGAGAGAGUCUUUGGCGUCUGUGGGAAGUUUCAUUCUGCUGCUGAUCCAUUGCUUGGCCCACGUCGUCGCCGAGGACUUCCGCCAGGACACAAACCCUGCCUUUCUGAGGUCAUUUUACAAGGGCCUGCGGGCUUAUUUCGGGGAAGCAUUCUCUACCGCUCUGCGAAUGUCCGCUGUCUCCUGGGACAGUAAGCUUGACCAAAGCAUGAGCGCUGCUCUGUUAGAUGAGCAGCCCAUCUCUGAAGGAGGAAGAGAUCUGCUCUCUACGCUCCUUGAAAGGAAGUGUGAGUCUCACUUGGAGCCAGAGUCAUCAGAAGAGUAUAUUAAGAGAAACAUGGAUCUUCUCCUCUUCACCAAUAUGGAACAUUUUCUAAAAUCCCUCCUCACUGCAGAACAACCGAUCCCAAGAAAACCAAGAGAACAGUGUGGAGACGAAGAGAAGGUGAGAUGCUUUUAUGAUCUAGGGCAUGAAGACUGUGCUGUGCUAUACACCUUGAAACA
rnacentral:lncRNA from 1 species